UGGGGAAUAUUGGACAAUGGGCGAAAGCCUGAUCCAGCCAUGCCGCGUGUGUGAAGAAGGUCUUCGGAUUGUAAAGCACUUUAAGUUGGGAGGAAGGGUUGUAGAUUAAUACUCUGCAAUUUUGACGUUACCGACAGAAUAAGCACCGGCUAACUCUGUGCCAGCAGCCGCGGUAAUACAGAGGGUGCAAGCGUUAAUCGGAAUUACUGGGCGUAAAGCGCGCG
rnacentral:rRNA from 1 species